rnacentral:rRNA from 1 species
UGUGUGUUAGUGGAAGCGUCUGGAAAGGCGCGCGAUACAGGGUGACAGCCCCGUACACAAAAAUGCACAUACUGUGAGCUCGAUGAGUAGGGCGGGACACGUGGUAUCCUGUCUGAAUAUGGGGGGACCAUCCUCCAAGGCUAAAUACUCCUGACUGACCGAUAGUGAACCAGUACCGUGAGGGAAAGGCGAAAAGAACCCCGGCGAGGGGAGUGAAAAAGAACCUGAAACCGUGUACGUACAAGCAGUGGGAGCCUCUUUAUGGGGUGACUGCGUACCUUUUGUAUAAUGGGUCAGCGACUUAUAUUCUGUAGCAAGGUUAACCGAAUAGGGGAGCCGAAGGGAAACCGAGUCUUAACUGGGCGUUAAGUUGCAGGGUAUAGACCCGAAACCCGGUGAUCUAGCCAUGGGCAGGUUGAAGGUUGGGUAACACUAACUGGAGGACCGAACCGACUAAUGUUGAAAAAUUAGCGGAUGACUUGUGGCUGGGGGUGAAAGGCCAAUCAAACCGGGAGAUAGCUGGUUCUCCCCGAAAGCUAUUUAGGUAGCGCCUCGUGAAUUCAUCUCCGGGGGUAGAGCACUGUUUCGGCAAGGGGGUCAUCCCGACUUACCAACCCGAUGCAAACUGCGAAUACCGGAGAAUGUUAUCACGGGAGACACACGGCGGGUGCUAACGUCCGUCGUGAAGAGGGAAACAACCCAGACCGCCAGCUAAGGUCCCAAAGUCAUGGUUAAGUGGGAAACGAUGUGGGAAGGCCCAGACAGCCAGGAUGUUGGCUUAGAAGCAGCCAUCAUUUAAAGAAAGCGUAAUAGCUCACUGGUCGAGUCGGCCUGCGCGGAAGAUGUAACGGGGCUAAACCAUGCACCGAAGCUGCGGCAGCGACGCUUAUGCGUUGUUGGGUA